rnacentral:rRNA from 1 species
ACAGCAGCCGCCGCGGUAAUACGUAGGUCCCGAGCGUUGUCCGGAUUUAUUGGGCGUCAAGCGAGCGCAGGCGGUUAGAUAAGUCUGAAGUUAAAGGCUGUGGCUUAACCAUAGUACGCUUUGGAAACUGUUUAACUUGAGUGCAAGAGGGGAGAGUGGAAUUCCAUGUGUAGCGGUGAAAUGCGUAGAUAUAUGGAGGAACACCGGUGGCGAAAGCGGCUCUCUGGUCUGUAACUGACGCUGAGGCUCGAAAGCGUGGGGAGCAAACAGGAUUAGAUACCCGGGUAGUCCCUGUCUCUUAUACA